rnacentral:rRNA from 1 species
CCAGCAGCUGCGUUAAUUCCAGCUCCAAUAGCGUAUAUUUAAGUUGCUGCAGUUAAAAAGCUCGUAGUUGGAUUUCGGGUGGGUGACGACGGUCCGCCGCAAGGUGUGCACUGUUCGGGGCGGCCAUCCUCUUGAGGACCGCGUGUGCCCUUCACUGGGUGGGCGCGGGACUCAGGACCUUUACUUUGAAAAAAUUAGAGUGUUCAAAGCAGGCUUACGCUUGAAUACAUUAGCAUGGAAUAAUGGAAUAGGACUUUGGUUCUAUUUUGUUGGUUCUAGGACCGAAGUAAUGAUUAAUAGGGAUAGUUGGGGGCAUUCGUAUUUAAUUGUCAGAGGUGAAAUUCUUGGAUUUAUGAAAGACGAACAUCUGCGAAAGCAUUUGCCAAGGAUGUUUUCAUUGAUCAAGAACGAAAGU